GGCGUAAAGCGCGCGCAGGUGGUUUCUUAAGUCUGAUGUGAAAGCCCACGGCUCAACCGUGGAGGGUCAUUGGAAACUGGGAGACUUGAGUGCAGAAGAGGAAAGUGGAAUUCCAUGUGUAGCGGUGAAAUGCGUAGAGAUAUGGAGGAACACCAGUGGCGAGGCGACUUUCUGGUCUGUAACUGACACUGAGGCGCGAAAGCGUGGGGAGCAAACAGGAUUAGAUACCCUGGUAGUCCACGCCGUAAACGAUGAGUGCUAAGUGUUAGAGGGUUUCCGCCCUUUAGUGCUGAAGUUAACGCAUUAAGCACUCCGCCUGGGGAGUACG
rnacentral:rRNA from 2 species